rnacentral:rRNA from 1 species
AGCAUGUGGUUUAAUUCGAUGCAACGCGAAGAACCUUACCUGGUCUUGACAUCCACAGAAGUUUUCAGAGAUGAGAAUGUGCCUUCGGGAACUGUGAGACAGGUGCUGCAUGGCUGUCGUCAGCUCGUGUUGUGAAAUGUUGGGUUAAGUCCCGCAACGAGCGCAACCCUUAUCCUUUGUUGCCAGCGGUCCGGCCGGGAACUCAAAGGAGACUGCCAGUGAUAAACUGGAGGAAGGUGGGGAUGACGUCAAGUCAUCAUGGCCCUUACGACCAGGGCUACACACGUGCUACAAUGGCGCAUACAAAGAGAAGCGAUCUCGCGAGAGCAAGCGGACCUCAUAAAGUGCGUCGUAGUCCGGACUGGAGUCUGCAACUCGACUCCACGAAGUCGGAAUCGCUAGUAAUCGUGGAUCAGAAUGCCACGGUGAAUACGUUCCCGGGCCUUGUACACACCGCCCGUCACACCAUGGGAGUGGGUUGCAAAAGAAGUAGGUAGCUUAACCUUCGGGAGGGCGCUUACCACUUUGUGAUUCAUGACUGGGGUGAAGUCGUAACAAGGUAACCGUAGGGGAACCUGCGGUUGGAUCACCUCCUUACCUGAA